AAAAUCAGCUGCAGACGAACUGAAGGAGCAGAAGAUGGAGAAAGUCAUGAUGAUCCUGGCUGCUUUUGUUCUGACUUCGACCUCCAGGCCUCCUGAGCAUAAAUACGUUUAUGUGGAUGAGCUGAAGAACUGGACUGAAGCUCAGCGUUUCUGCAGACAGACGUACACAGACCUGGCAACCCUGGAGAGCCAGCAGGAUGUGGAGGCUCUGAGUGACAUGGCAACGUCUGUGAGGAAAACCUCUGAGCUGGCCUGGAUCGGACUGUACGAUGAUGUGAACAGCUGGAGGUGGUCCACGUCAGACUCUGACUUCUACCAACAUGAAGAGAUGGACUUCAACAACUGGCAGGCUGGAAAACCGAACAACGUUUGGCUCGGUUUGUUCAGAGACUCCUGGAAGUGGGUGGAGGGCAAGAACUUCUCAUUUAGGUUCUGGAACGAAGGAAACAAUGAACCCGGUAACAACGGGAAAGAGGAAUGUGCAGCGGCUCACUUUGGGAGAUCUGGCCAAUGGGAAGACUGGCCCUGUGACCAACACAAAGCCUUUGUUUGUUACAGCGAGCUGUGUGGAAACGCCUCACUUCCUGGACGUAAAUACUUUUUUGUUGGUGAGCUGAAGACCUGGACUGAAGCUCAGAGUCACUGCAGAGAACAUUACGGGAACCUGGCAGUGAUGGAGAACAUGGAGGAUGUGGGAACUCUGAACAACAUGGCAGCAUCUCUGGGAUUCACAUCUACAGCCUGGAUCGGGUUGUACGAUGACGUGAACAGCUGGAGGUGGUCCGUUUCUGAAUAUGACUUGGACCAACAUCAGGAGAACAAAUUCACAAACUGGCAGCCUAGUGAACCAAACAACGAUGCAGGAAGAGAAAGUUGCAUAGAAAUGUUUGCAAAUGGGUCCUGGAAUGAUAUAACUUGUUCUAAAUUGCAAGGUUCAAUCUGCUCAGAGGUCAGAGACUCAGAUGUUAAGUUUACCUUCAUUAACGUCGACAUGAACUGGACUCAGGCUCAGAGCUACUGCAGAAACCAUUACACAGACCUGGCCAGAGUCAGAAACAUGACAGACAUCCAGAAGAUCCAGACGCUGAUACCAGCAGGACAAAAUGUUUGGAUUGGUUUCCACAGACCUUUCUGGAUGUGGGUGGAUGGAAGCAGGUUCUCGUUUAGCUACUGGAGAUCCAGUGAACCUAGUGGAUCUGGUGAGCACUGUGCUUCAGCAGACCUGGGAAACUCUGGACAGUGGGAGAACUGGGACUGUGAUGGACAGAGGCCAUUCAUUUGCUACAAUGUGGUUUGUGGGAACUCAACACUUCCUACACGUGAAUAUAUAAUCGUUGAUGAGCUGAAGACUUGGACAGAAGCUCAGAGAUACUGCAGAGAAAAUCACAAAGACCUGGCAACCAUCACCAACAUGGAGGAUGUGAGGAUGCUGAACGACCUGGCAACAGGAAGAACCAGUCAGGCCUGGAUCGGACUGCAUGAAGACGUGAACAGCUGGAGGUGGUCCAUGUCAGACCAGUAUCAGAACCAGUUCAGGAACUGGGCAGCUGGACAACCCAACAAUAAGUUUGGCAGAGAGAGCUGUGGUGCAUUAAGUGCAGAUGGAUCCUGGUACGAUGUGUCCUGCUCUCAAACCUUACACACGGUUUGCUUCAAUGUCUGCGGAACAAAUCCUACGUUUUACUACAGCAGUACCAAACGGAGCUGGACUGAAGCUCAGAGCUUCUGCAGAGAACAUUACAGAGACCUGGCCGGCGUGAGACACCUGUCUGACAACAAGGUGAUCCAGGGUUUGGUCCAGAGAGCGGCCUGGAUGGGUCUGUACCGAGACUCCUGGAAGUGGGCGGAUGGAGGGAACUCCUCCUUCAGGAACUGGAACCGAGACGAACCCAAUCACAACGGGAAGGAGGGAUGCGCUGCUGCUAACUUUGGGAACGCUGGGAAAUGGGAGGACUGGAGCUGCGGCGAGAAGAAAGCCUUCGUUUGUUACGCUGGUGAGGAAUCCUUCACUCUUUAGUCAACUUCACAGCCAAUAACUGACCAACCAAACAACUAAUCCUGGUUCCAGACUGAAGCGUUGCAGCAAGAACAUGAUCAUUUGAUCAGCGGUCCAGUCAAAGCAUCUGGUGAAACUGCAGCUGGAGUUUCCAUCGUCUCUGACGGAGGAUGACUCCGCCAUGAUGGAGGAACUCCUGAUCAAGCUGAAACAGAAGCUGAAGGACGACGGAGUGAAAGGAGACGUGAAA